CGAUGAUCCGGUGCUUGCCCGGGGAUUAGUGGCGAACGGGUGAGUAACACGUGAGUAACCUGCCCUUAACUCUGGGAUAAGCCUGGGAAACUGGGUCUAAUACCGGAUAUGACUCCUCAUCGCAUGGUGGGGGGUGGAAAGCUUUAUUGUGGUUUUGGAUGGACUCGCGGCCUAUCAGCUUGUUGGUGAGGUAAUGGCUCACCAAGGCGACGACGGGUAGCCGGCCUGAGAGGGUGACCGGCCACACUGGGACUGAGACACGGCCCAGACUCCUACGGGAGGCAGCAGUGGGGAAUAUUGCACAAUGGGCGAAAGCCUGAUGCAGCGACGCCGCGUGAGGGAUGACGGCCUUCGGGUUGUAAACCUCUUUCAGUAGGGAAGAAGCGAAAGUGACGGUACCUGCAGAAGAAGCGCCGGCUAACUACGUGCCAGCAGCCGCGGUAAUACGUAGGGCGCAAGCGUUAUCCGGAAUUAUUGGGCGUAAAGAGCUCGUAGGCGGUUUGUCGCGUCUGCCGUGAAAGUCCGGGGCUCAACUCCGGAUCUGCGGUGGGUACGGGCAGACUAAAGUGAUGUAGGGGAGACUGGAAUUCCUGGUGUAGCGGUGAAAUGCGCAGAUAUCAGGAGGAACACCGAUGGCGAAGGCAGGUCUCUGGGCAUUAACUGACGCUGAGGAGCGAAAGCAUGGGGAGCGAACAGGAUUAGAUACCCUGGUAGUCCAUGCCGUAAACGUUGGGCACUAGGUGUGGGGGACAUUCCACGUUUUCCGCGCCG
rnacentral:rRNA from 1 species